rnacentral:rRNA from 1 species
AGAGUUUGAUCCUGGCUCAGAAUGAACGCUGGCGGCGUGCUUAACACAUGCAAGUCGUGCGAGAAAGUCCGCUUCGGUGGAUGAGUAGAGCGGCGCACGGGUGAGUAACGCGUGGAUUAUCUCCCUUGAGGAUCGGGAUAACAGUUGGAAACGGCUGCUAAUACCGGAUACGCUGCAAUUUUUACGAUUGUAGGAAAGGUUGCCUCUACAUGUAAGCAAUCACCUUGAGAUGAGUCCGCGUCCCAUUAGUUUGUUGGUGGGGUAACGGCCUACCAAGACUACGAUGGGUAGCUGGUCUGAGAGGAUGAUCAGCCACACUGGAACUGAAACACGGUCCAGACUCCUACGGGAGGCAGCAGUGGGGAAUAUUGCGCAAUGGGGGAAACCCUGACGCAGCGACGCCGUGUGCGGGAUGAAGGGUUUCGGCUCGUAAACCGCUGUCAGGAGGGAAGAACCCGGUAGGGUCCUAAUAGGCCUUGCCGCUGACGGUACCUCCAGAGGAAGCAC